rnacentral:rRNA from 1 species
UACAGAGGGGGCAAGCGUUGUUCGGAAUUACUGGGCGUAAAGCGUGCGCAGGCGGCUUUGCAAGACAGAUGUGAAAUCCCCGGGCUCAACCUGGGAACUGCAUUUGUGACUGCAUGGCUAGAGUACGGUAGAGGGGGAUGGAAUUCCGCGUGUAGCAGUGAAAUGCGUAGAUAUGCGGAGGAACACCGAUGGCGAAGGCAAUCCCCUGGACCUGUACUGACGCUCAUGCACGAAAGCGUGGGGAGCAAACAGG